GACGAACGCUGGCGGCGUGCCUAAUACAUGCAAGUCGAACGCAGUGGGGACGGGUGAGUAACACGUGGGUAACCUCCCAUCAGAGGGGAUAACACUUGGAAACAGGUGCUAAACCGAUACUGAUGGAUGGACCCGCGGUGCAUUAGCUAGUUGGUGAGGUAACGGCUCACCAAGGCGACGAUGCCUAGCUGGUCGGAGAGGGUGAUCGGCCACACUGGGACUGAGACACGGCCCAGACUCCUACGGGAGGCAGCAGUGGGGAAUCUUCGGCAAUGGGCGCAAGUCUGACGCAGCAAUGCCGCGUGUGUGAAGAAGGCUUUCGGGUUGUAAAGUACUUUUGUUAGGGAGGCGUUAUCGACCCAAAAAGCCACGGCUAACUACGUGCCAGCAGCCGCGGUAAUUC
rnacentral:rRNA from 1 species